AAGUAUUUAAUAAUUGUUCUUUCUAUUCUAAUGCUUUUUAAUUAUAGCAGAAUUGAACUACAAAGUAACGAAGAAAAGUAGGAGCAACGUGAUAAUGAAAAAAAAAGAAAAGCCAGGAAAUUUGAAACUAGUGAUCCAUUAUGCAGCAAAGAUAUGUAUGUAAUUUGAAGUAAAGUAAAUAAUAAUAGAGAGGGGAGCAAUGUUUUUUUUAAACUCAGCAAAGCUAAGCUGAAAAAAGAAGAAAAGUAGAAGUAACACGGCAGCCAAGCAAAAAAGGAGGAAAGCUGAGAAACAAAUGUUGAAAGUUGAAACUAAUGGCGGAGUCGAGGCUACUAAUUGCCAUGGAAAUUUCGCAGGGUCUGGUGAAUUCGUUCAGGAGGUCCCGUGGCACAGUCGAGGUCGAGAGUUGAAUCUAAAUGAUCCUGGUUCUCGGAAGGAGAGGACCAUCAGGACACGCGACACUUCCCAAGUCGAAGGAAGCGUGCCCUUUCUUAUUUUUUCCUCCUGCUUGGAACCCUGUGGUUGCUACGGGCCCCUGGAAUCAUCCUGGUGAAAGAUUCAUCGUUGCUGUUUCAGCGGACUCUGUAUAUGUUACCAACUGAUGCAAUUUGUAGAUCUUUGAUAAAAAAAAAAAAGGAGAAAACCAGUCUCCAGGGGUGAAUUUUACAAUAGAAAUGACAUAGGAAACAAAAUCAAUAACAUAAGUAAAGUAUCAAGUCAACUACUGAUAAUAUCAAUUUUGAUUUAUAAGAAGAUAAAAAGAAGAAAUGUGUGUUGUAUGUGGAGAAAAUCACCGACGCCAUUUUCUUUGGAAUCCCCUUCAUCUGGUCCGGACCAAUUGUAAACGAGUCUCACCUGUACAUUACCUCUCACCUGUGCUUUAGUCUCCUAUUGGAGGAUUAAGAGCAGGUAACAGGCAAGUGUCCCCACUAAGCUGUAAUGGAGCUACUAGUACAAAAUGAAUCCUCUCUGGGAAGAGGAAAGUAUUCUGUUUCAUUUUCAAACAUAAAUUAUCAAUUUUUACUAAUUUAUUUAAUUAUAUUAUUUAAUUAUUUUUUCAUUUUUCUAGUGCAAAAAAUUUCUUGAAUUAAAAGAAGCACGGAUUUAUCAAGAUUGAUGUAAGCUAGUGGUUUUUCCGUAUUGGAAACUGGAAAUAUAUGUAUAAGACAUUUGUGACCAGGUGUGAAAGACGUUUGCACUUGCAUCCCUGACGGUGUAUACGCCAUGGACACGGAUGGCUGCUAGGUUUCAUCGAAACAGCUGUUGUCUGAUGUUGUCCCUACCCGAUGUCAGACUUGGAGCUAUUAAAAUUCAGCGAAAUCUAUCGCACCAACUCAGAACUAGCCGUAGCUCUUACCACAUCCUACAUAAUAUUACAAUAUUUUAUGGUGGAUGAAAGGGAAGAGACAUUACUAAAAUUUCUUCAAUGAAUCUUCCAAGAAGGCUCUACUUCUGUGUCACAGCCUGGUGAGGACUUUCAGGAACCUGAUCCAGUUGAUCAUAGUAAUCUGAUUGGACACCAAUGAGAGUCAAUCAACGAAGCAAGUCCAGCCUUUGCGUUUGGAUAGUGGAUGUGAAGGUAGAGGGUUGCUCUUCUAUCCGUUUCUCUCCCAUUCUUUUCUUGAAACCGACGACACGCAGUCGCGGAGGGGCGGCGCCUUCAAAUGGCAGCAUCCAGAGCGCAGACGCCUUCGGUUUCACAGCGUGCUUCCGGCUUCAACUAGAGCAACAAUCUCGACUAUCAGAAAUCUUUCGACCGUUCUGAAAUAAACCAGGAGAGCACGUCGGGGCUUCCCAUUCGCCUUCGAAAAUGUGUUUACACGGCACUAUACACUUCACCGGAAUAAUUCUCGAUGUCUUUUUGCUCCGUACGAAAACGAACGAGUUUUCCUUGGCGCCUGUAUUGUGAGGUCCGCGAUUUCGCGGUAUCGCCUGAGUAAAUUCCAUCCAUCGGCGGGGGUGGCGGCUGUUACAAUUUACUGUUUCCACGUUCCGAUCUAUUUUAAUUAUUGCCGGCGAGGUUAGCCGCGAAAAAUUCCAUAAAUCUUCGUCUCCUGCGGUAAUUAGCGGGAAUACUUUCGACUAGCGGGCAUAAAUCCCGCAAUUCCUUCCAGGAACCUCGGAACAUUGACGACACGAGGUGCAACACAGAUCCAGUGUCUCUCAAGUAACCGAAUUUUUCAAAUUGAAGUGACUAAAAGUUCAUUUCAGAAUGUUUUACGCGAUAAUUAUUGAAGAGGAAAGAGGAAGAUAACUGGAAUUAAGAGAUUAUUGCAAUUUUAAUUCACGAUUGUCAAUUGUUUAUUGA